CGCAUCUGGCAUCCAGCUGGUGCCUGUGUAAACAGGUGAAAAGGGAAUGUGCAGCCGGGUCCGCCCGGCCAGGCACAGCCGCCCCCGCGACCGUGACCGGAAAGGUCGUCCACCGCCACUGGCCCAUGCGCCGGGAAGGCCGGACGCCCGCGGGCCCCAGACCGGGGCCGGGAUCCGCAAGCCGGGAGACCUGCCAGCGCAUGUUGUUGAGA
rnacentral:ncRNA from 2 species